rnacentral:rRNA from 1 species
GGGUGAGUAACACGUAAGUAAUCUACCUUCGAGUGGGGAAUAACGUUCGGAAACGAACGCUAAUACCGCAUAAUGCAGCGGCAUCGCAAGAUGACAGUUGUUAAAGAUUUAUCGCUUGAAGAGGAGCUUGCGGCGAAUUAGCUAGUUGGUAAGGUAAUGGCUUACCAAGGCAACGAUCUGUAUCCGGUCUAAGAGGACGGUCGGACACACUGACACUGAAUAACGGGUCAGACCCCUACGGGAGGCAGCAGUCGGGAAUUUUGGGCAAUGGGCGAAAGCCUGACCCAGCAACGCCGCGUGAAGGAUGAAGUUUUUCGGAAUGUAAACUUCGUAAGAAUAGGAAGAAUAAAUGACGGUACUAUUUGUAAGGUCCGGCUAACUACGUGCCAGCAGCCGCGGUAAUACGUAGGGACCAAGCGUUGUUCGGAUUUACUGGGCGUAAAGGGCGCGUAGGCGGCAAUUCAAGUCAGCUGUGAAAUCUCCGGGCUUAACUCGGAACGGUCAGCUGAUACUGCUUUGCUAGAGUGCAGAAGGGGCAAUCGGAAUUCUUGGUGUAGCGGUGAAAUGCGUAGAUAUCAAGAGGAACACCUGAGGUGAAGACGGGUUGCUGGGCUGACACUGACGCUGAGGCGCGAAAGCUAGGGUAGCAAACGGGAUUAGAUACCCCGGUAGUCCUAGCCCUAAACGAUGAAUACUUGGUGUCUGGAGUUUUUAUCCUCCGGGUGCCGUCGCUAACGUUUUAAGUAUUCCGCCUGGGGAGUACGCACGCAAGUGUGAAACUCAAAGGAAUUGA